rnacentral:rRNA from 1 species
UACGUAGGGUGCAAGCGUUGUCCGGAAUUAUUGGGCGUAAAGAGCUCGUAGGCGGUCUGUCGCGUCGUCCGUGAAAACCUGCAGCUCAACUGCAGGCUUGCGGUCGAUACGGGCAGGCUAGAGUUCGGUAGGGGAGACUGGAAUUCCUGGUGUAGCGGUGAAAUGCGCAGAUAUCAGGAGGAACACCGGUGGCGAAGGCGGGUCUCUGGGCCGAUACUGACGCUGAGGAGCGAAAGCGUGGGGAGCGAACAGG